UGCAUAUGACAAUUAUUCACCUCAAUGAUACAUUAAUUUAUUUUAAGGAAUUAAUAAAGCCCUGGACUGUAUUAUUUCAGAUCAAGUUUAAGCUAGAUUUCUG